rnacentral:rRNA from 1 species
GACGAACGCUGGCGGCGCGCCUAACACAUGCAAGUCGAACGGAGCUUAAAGAGCUUGCUUUUUAAGCUUAGUGGCGAACGGGUGAGUAACGCGUGAGUAACCUGCCCUAGAGUGGGGGACAACAGUUGGAAACGACUGCUAAUACCGCAUAAGCCCACGGUACCGCAUGGUACUGAGGGAAAAGGAUUUAUUCGCUUUAGGAUGGACUCGCGUCCAAUUAGCUAGUUGGUGAGGUAACGGCCCACCAAGGCGACGAUUGGUAGCCGGACUGAGAGGUUGAACGGCCACAUUGGGACUGAGACACGGCCCAGACUCCUACGGGAGGCAGCAGUGGGGGAUAUUGCACAAUGGGGGAAACCCUGAUGCAGCGACGCCGCGUGGAGGAAGAAGGUUUUCGGAUUGUAAACUCCUGUCGUUAGGG